AGGAGUGGGUGCAUGAUCGCUGGUCCUGUUCGGGUCAGAGGAAAGUCCGAACUCCGCAGGGCAAGGUGGUUCGUAAUGCGAACUGGGGGUGACCCCGAGGAAAGUGCCACAGAAAAUAUACCGCCAGGGCUCACGCCGUGGUAAGGGUGAAAUGGUGAGGUAAGAGCUUACCGCCUCCGUGGUGACACGGAGGGCAUGGCAAACCCCACCUGGAGCAACAUCAAAUAGGGAGACACUUGAGGGCGGCCCGCCCGAUGUCUUCGGGUAGAUCGCUUGAGGCGCCAGGUGACUGGCGUCCUAGAGAAAUGAUCAUGGCCUUCUCCGGCUACCUUUCGGGGUAGUACGGGAGGGUACAGAAUUCGGCUUAUAGCCCACUCCUUUUU
rnacentral:RNase_P_RNA from 1 species